UGAACAAGCCUUGAAUUUGUCUGUGCUGCACAAACCCUCGGGGUUAUUACAUGGGCAAUGUUCUUAAUAACAGGAGAGGCUCAGUAAAUGGGUUUGACUCUGAGCAGAGAAGCCAACAAGCCAUGGAGAAUAACACGUUCUGAGCAGAGGAAUAUUGUGGAGUGUAAACAGUUGGCUUUUGCCUCAUCUGGGUUCUCCUUAGAGCUGUACCAUGAUGAACGUGACUCGCAGGAAGAUGCUGCCAGAAGAUUCCAACUUAUCUCAACUUAGGAUCCAUCAAAGCCGUGUUAAAGUUGGGUCUCGGGCAUUGAGUCAGCAGUUUACGUUCCUGUGGGAGGGAGUGUCGUCUCAACCACAGUGGGAGCGGUGCAUGGUGCAUGCAAAUAACUCUGAACACAUCAGCUCUUCAGGGUGGAUUUUGGAUGAAGAUGGAAGGAAAUCACACAGGAUGUGCUGACGAGAAGAAGGAAGUGGUUUUGAGGAUGACAUUGAGCGCUGCAAGGGGGAUGCCAGACGUGUUGGAUUCACAUGAAGAGUUGGUGUUCCUGCCAGUGAACACCCCCCGAGCUGCCCCUGCCUCCCGAGCCUCAGAGCAGCCGCGGGCACGAACAACUCGGGGAGCUCCGAGUGCGCCUCCGGAGCGAACACCCCCAAACAGCCCCGUCCCCUCUGGCUCCAGGGGGGUGUUAUUGCAAAACCUGCUCAGGAACUGAAACUUUUGAAACCUUCCCGAGCUGAUUGGUGAAGGCUUCACCUCCUGAGAGUCCUGUUCAACCCGGGACACAUCAUGUGGGAAGCAGGCAGCGCGUGGGGAGGUGUUAUUAUAGAAACAGGGCCAAGCACUUGACUCCUGGGGAACUGGAGGCUGCCUUGGCCAUUUUGAAGUGAUUACAGCAAGCAAGGAAGGCUUGGGAGAAAUCACGGAUCGAGGAACACGGACUAACACCUCCUGGCCAGCCCAGCCCAGCACUGGAUGGAGCAGGGCCGAGCUGCCCCAGUCCCAGAGGGGUCUUUUCUGUCGGGAUUAUCCCUCUGCUCCCAUCCUCACUCCCCCACUCCCCUCCUUUGCUUCAAGGCAGUGCAGGCAGCCCUCAGGGCCUCAGUGCCCGAGGCUGUUCACAGACAUCUUGUUUUCUCUUUUCAUGUCACAGUUUGUCUAGCAGAAUCAUUCCUUUUUUUUAAUGUUUAAAUGCCUUUUUAUGUGAGAAAAAGGUGUACAGUGAAAUCUCAGUAAACGGCUACUGAAGUGUGCUGCUUUAUAAGUCUG